UGGGCCACCUGCCUGUAAGACUGGGAUAACUUCGGGAAACCGGAGCUAAUACCGGAUAAAACUUAUUACCACAUGGUGACAAGAUGAAAGGCGGCGUAAGCUGUCACUUACAGAUGGGCCCGCGGCGCAUUAGCUAGUUGGUGAGGUAACGGCUCACCAAGGCAACGAUGCGUAGCCGACCUGAGAGGGUGAUCGGCCACACUGGGACUGAGACACGGCCCAGACUCCUACGGGAGGCAGCAGUAGGGAAUCUUCCGCAAUGGACGAAAGUCUGACGGAGCAACGCCGCGUGAGUGAUGAAGGUUUUCGGAUCGUAAAACUCUGUUGUUAGGGAAGAACAAGUGCAAGAGUAACUGCUUGCACCUUGACGGUACCUAACCAGAAAGCCCCGGCUAACUACGUGCCAGCAGCCGCGGUAAUACGUAGGGGGCAAGCGUUGUCCGGAAUUAUUGGGCGUAAAGCGCGCGCAGGCGGUCCUUUAAGUCUGAUGUGAAAGCCCACGGCUUAACCGUGGAGGGUCAUUGGAAACUGGAGGACUUGAGUACAGAAGAGGAGAGUGGAAUUCCACGUGUAGCGGUGAAAUGCGUAGAGAUGUGGAGGAACACCAGU
rnacentral:rRNA from 1 species